rnacentral:rRNA from 1 species
UACGUAGGGGGCAAGCGUUGUCCGGAUUUAUUGGGCGUAAAGAGCGUGUAGGCGGCCAAGCAGGUCCGCUGUGAAAACUCGAGGCUCAACCUCGAGACGUCGGUGGAAACCGUUUGGCUAGAGUCCGGAAGAGGAGAGUGGAAUUCCCGGUGUAGCGGUGAAAUGCGCAGAUAUCGGGAAGAACACCCGUGGCGAAGGCGGCACUCUGGGACGGUACUGACGCUGAGACGCGAAAGCGUGGGGAGCGAACAGG